rnacentral:rRNA from 1 species
UACGUAGGGGGCGAGCGUUGUCCGGAUUUUAUUGGGCGUAAAAGAGCUCGUAGGUGGUUUGGUAAGUCGGAUGUGAAAUCUCCAGGCUCAACCUGGAGGGGUCAUUCGAUACUGCCAUGACUAGAGUUCGGUAGGGGAGUGUGGAAUUCCUGGUGGAGCGGUGAAAUGCGCAGAUAUCAGGAGGAACACCCGUAGCGAAGGCGGCACUCUGGGCCGAUACUGACACUGAGGAGCGAAAGCGUGGGGAGCGAACAGG